GUUUCGAAUUUAAAGAAUUUUGGCACAAAAUUGCCAUAACCUGAAGAAUAUGAAAAUCAUCUGCGUUUUUCAAAAAUAAAGCCGCAGUAUUUUGAAUAAACGAAAACAUUGAUUCUUGCUGAAUAUUGUUAGGAGAUGGUCAAAAAUAAAUUUUAGAAAAAUCGUCGC